rnacentral:rRNA from 1 species
AUUGAACGCUGGCGGCAUGCCUUACACAUGCAAGUCGAACGGUAACGCGGGGCAACCUGGCGACGAGUGGCGAACGGGUGAGUAAUGCAUCGGAACGUGCCCAGUAGUGGGGGAUAGCCCGGCGAAAGCCGGAUUAAUACCGCAUACGACCUACGGGUGAAAGGGGGGGAUCGCAAGACCUCUCGCUAUUGGAGCGGCCGAUGUCAGAUUAGGUAGUUGGUGGGGUAAAAGCCUACCAAGCCGACGAUCUGUAGCUGGUCUGAGAGGACGACCAGCCACACUGGGACGGGGACACGGCCCAGACUCCUACGGGAGGCAGCAGUGGGGAAUUUUGGACAAUGGGGGAAACCCUGAUCCAGCCAUGCCGCGUGCGGGAAGAAGGCCUUCGGGUUGUAAACCGCUUUUGUCAGGGAAGAAACGCUCUGGGCUAAUACCUUGGAGUAAUGACGGUACCUGAAGAAUAAGCACCGGCUAACUACGUGCCAGCAGCCGCCGUAA